CAGUUAUCACGAAAGGCGGAGGGAAAGACCCAAUGAAACCUUAGCAACCCUUUAUCUUUAAAGAAGGUGCUACAUUCUACUUUACACUGAAAUUAUUUCAGUAUCUAAGAUAGAUAACAC
rnacentral:ncRNA from 1 species